AGAUCCGAAGUUAAAGUAGCUAUGGUUUGGUGUUGGCACACCAUGAGGAGUUUAACUGAUGCAUGUACGCUGCAGGUUCUCACCACUCCAUGAGAGAUGGGAUGAACACCGUUUCAUUUUAGGAAAUUUCAGCCACUGCAUGGCCUUUAGCACUGAAAACGACUGAAUUCUCAACCCACGUUGGCUUCUUUUCAGCUAUCUGACUUCAACAUGGCUGUUCACUCGGAUGGAUUAAUUUGCCAUGCUCACUGCUGUUUCGUCUGCUUUGUUACUUUCUCCCUGAAGCAGAGGCGAUGAAAGGUUCAGAUUGUUGCCCUUGUGAGAAGAACUCAUAGUGCUGUGAAAACGGACUCAAGGUUCUCCUUCUCUUCCUAUCUUCAAAAAAAGUUAUGCUCUAAUAUUAACAAUGACUAGAAGUUAUCUGAGAGACAUCUGAAACGUUUUGAAAAGAGUUAUCUUCAGUUUUGCUGCUGGCUCUGCAACAGCGUACUCAUACUCAAAUUGCUUCAAGGCCUCUUCAUUUCCAUGGAGGAAAGGACUAAGAUUAAUGAGGGUUUUCUGAAAAGUUUUGAUGACAAAUUUAUUGGGAAAUAUGAAUAUGGAACAUUUCUGUCUCUAGAAACAAUGAAAACAGUAAAAAACCAUUACCAAGUCCCCAACGUAUUGCUUUUACACUGAAAAGUGAAAAUGGAAUAAGGAGGGAAGUAGACAUCAAUAUUAUGUCUUCCAGAUGAGUUUUUUUUUUUUAAACCCACAUGACCACAGCAAAGUGAGGCAGGAUUCUGAGAAGUCAAUGACAGAGACCGAAUACGUCCAAGCUGUAAACAUUUUAUGAGUUAUCAAACAAGACACGUUUUAACUUGUGACUCUGGAAAAUGGUAGCUGAUCAGUAUAAUUUAAGGUUGAAGGUGUUUCUGUCAGAAAUAUUUGAAGGUUCUUGAUGCUGGAAGGACUGAAUAGACCAGAGCAGGAAGAAUCUCAGGCUGUCUCAGGCUUUACUUUGCCAGUGUCACACUGAUUGAUAUAUGACCAUAGAGGGUUCUAAACUUCUGCUCUUUGUUUCCAAACAGUAGAAGCACAAGCAGGAACAUGUGUGCUCUAUUCCGCUUAGGGAAAAGCUUACAAUCCCCUGAGGUCAUUUUUCUCCAUCUAUAAAGUGUAAGGAUGAUAAUACCUACCAGAACAAUGGUGGUAAGGCCCAACAGCAAUGAUACAUGUGACAUGUAACACUCAGAAGGUACCUAACAAAGGCACUGGUUAAGCUUCUUUAAUAUCCUGGCUUUAGAAUAAAAAAAUAGAACUCACUAGAAACAUUUUCCAAAGGAUGAGUCAGGCUAUCAAUGUACCAGGUAGUUUGGACUGUGGAUAAUCAUAGUCCCCAAAAAGAUGAGUUCUGCACACUCAUAAUGGUGCUCCUUGGAGACCAUAGUUCUCUCCAGAGAGCACAGGGAUUGAUGUUCUUGUUUUUCCACCAAGCAUGUAUGUCCAAGCAGAGAAUUUCCAACAGGCACCUGGAAGGCUUGUUCACAGCUCCAAGUUUAUUGGACUGCAUGGAGAGUUGGUCUACUCCAUUUAUGCCUGGAUAUGAUCUUGUGUGGGUCUUGUGAAGAUACUACAGGUGCAUGAGUGAUCUACCUCUCACGCCCAGAAGAUGGUAUUUCCAAGAAUCCCUCCCCUUCCUCUAGCUUGGCAUUCUUUCUACCUCCUCUUCUGAGUUGUCCCCAAAGAUCUGAUGUGAGUGUUUGGUGUUAAUAAUCAUGCCCCAUGAAGGCUGAAUACCCAGUCUCUUAUUCUCAGUGCUUUGACUAAAUUAUGCAUCUCUCAUUGAGAGACACUGGAUAAAGAAGACUCUGUCCAAGACUGAGAGGAAUCCAGGCCUAUGGCUAUAAGCAUAAAUAUUUUAAAAAGCAUUUUCCCAGCCUGGCCAUUGGACAAAAUAGUAAUAGUAGGUUUUACCCAAGGAUCUAUGACCUCCCCAGUUAUGGGAUUUAGGUGAGGACUACAGUCCCAAGCAUGAAAUUUCCUCUUGUGAGUUAGGCUUCAAACCCAUAUAGUUGCUGGCACUAUUACAACACUAAGCACAUCUUCUCUGGCAGGUCUGUCUUAGAGCAUCAGCAUCCUAUACUAGAAGCAACUCAUGGUGAGCUAAACUGAAUGCACCCUGUUGUUCCAAGCGGGAGUUUUUCUUGCCUCAGCCAACUGACAGCAGACUCUCAGACCUGAUAGUUCACGAUUGGAGAGAAUGCAAGCAGAACAGAGACAGGAACUCUGAAUGUGGAGGGGAGAUACCUACUCGCUGCACUCCCAAAGCAAACAUUUUCACUGCUAAUCUGAAGUAUAUCCAGCUACGCAUUGAAGUGGAACCUUUUCUUCAUCAUCCGAGAUUGUGGAAAACACCAACAUCCUUGAAAACAUAAGCUGAAAUCAAGGACAGAGUGUGCAUAAAGUGGAGAAAACUGGUUUUCCGUGCAUUAAGGUCCCUACUGUUGGAAGUGAAGACUUUCACCAGGGUAUACAAUGAAAGGGUAUGGUGAAUUUUAAUCUGCUAUGGCUGCCCGUUAAUUUUAGCUCCUUAUAACAGACAAACGAGGAAAAGAAGACAUGAAGGCAAGUUACUCUCAGGAAUAGAAACUCUUUGAAAUCAAGGGUACCAUGGAUCCGCUAAUGUGCUUCCAUCCAGUAUUCUUCUGUCCACUAUGGCAAGAUGGUACUAGACAAACAGCAAUCACAGUCAGGAAUGACAUUUGGACCAUAAAAAAACCUCCUCAGAGAUAAACACGGAGUCACAGAACAGCCUCGGGGAACAUUGUAGAAGAGGAGACAGAAAGGAGCUGGAAGACCAGGAAAGCUUCUGUGAGAUUAUGACUCUUAGAAAUGACAGAGAAGCUAGGACUACAAAAAUACGGUUGCCUAAGCAAGACUCUUCAAUGCUGAAACAGAAGAAAGAUAUCCCAUGGGGCACUACCCACAGACAAAAGAUUACAGGCAAGGAAAGAAUGCUGAAAACAAGAGAAAUAGUGGUACCCCCCCCCAAGGAUGAGCCCCUCAAUUUGUUGUUAAUAGCAAGUAUUCAUCCAAGAACUCAAAUAAUAAUAUAUUACAAAAUAUUUGUGUAUU
rnacentral:lncRNA from 1 species